GAUGAACGCUGACAGAAUGCUUAACACAUGCAAGUCAACUUGAACUUCGGUUUGGGUGGCGGACGGGUGAGUAACGCGUAAAGAACUUGCCUCACAGAUAGGGACAACAUUUGGAAACGAAUGCUAAUACCUGAUAUUAUGAUUAUAUGGCAUCGUAUAAUUAUGAAAGCUAUAUGCGCUGUGAGAGAGCUUUGCGUCCCAUUAGCUAGUUGGAGAGGUAACGGCUCACCAAGGCGAUGAUGGGUAGCCGGCCUGAGAGGGUGAUCGGCCACAAGGGGACUGAGACACGGCCCUUACUCCUACGGGAGGCAGCAGUGGGAAAUAGUGGAAAAUGGACCAAGAGUCUGAUCCAGGAAUUCUGUGUGCACGAUGAAGUUUUUCGGAAUGAAAAGUGCUUUCAGUUGGGAAGAAAAAAAUGACGGUACCAACAGAAGAAGUGACGGCUAAAUACGUG
rnacentral:rRNA from 1 species